UACGGAGGAUGCAAGCGUUAUCCGGAUUCAUUGGGUUUAAAGGGUGCGUAGGCGGUUUAGUAAGUCAGCGGUGAAAUUUUGCAGCUUAACUGUAACAGUGCCGUUGAUACUGGGGAGCUAGGAUUUGGUUGCUGUGGGUGGAAUGUGUGGUGUAGCGGUGAAAUGCUUAGAGAUCACACAGAAUAUCGAUUGCGAAGGCAGCUCACAAAGCCAAGAUUGACGCUGAGGCACGAAAGUGUGGGGAUCAAACAGGA
rnacentral:rRNA from 1 species